rnacentral:rRNA from 1 species
CCUACGGGAGGCAGCAGUAGGGAAUCUUCCACAAUGGGCGAAAGCCUGAUGGAGCAACGCCGCGUGGGUGAAGAAGGUCUUCGGAUCGUAAAACCCUGUUGUUAGAGAAGAAAGUGCGUGAGAGUAACUGUUCACGUUUCGACGGUAUCUAACCAGAAAGCCACGGCUAACUACGUGCCAGCAGCCGCGGGUAUACGUAGGUGGCAAGCGUUAUCCGGAUUUAUUGGGCGUAAAGGGAACGCAGGCGGUCUUUUAAGUCUGAUGGGAAAGCCUUCGGCUUAACCGGAGUAGUGCAUUGGAAACUGGGAGACUUGAGUGCAGAAGAGGAGAGUGGAACUCCAGGUGUAGCGGUGAAAUGCGGAGAUAUAUGGAAGAACACCAGUGGCGAAAGCGGCUCUCUGGUCUGUAACUGACGCUGAGGUUCGAAAGCGUGGGUAGCAAACAGGAUUAGAUACCCCUGUAGUC